rnacentral:snRNA from 1 species
AUACCUUUCUCGGCCUUUUGGCUAAGAUCAAGUGUAGUAUCUGUUCUUAUCAGUUUAAUAUCUGAUACGUGGGCCAUUGGCCUACAUGAUAUUAAAUUAAUUUAUUAAGGGGGAAGGUCUACUUUGGUAGCUUGCUGCCAUGGCCUUCGAGUGUCGCCCAUGCGUUGCACUACAGCUUGGGUCUGGCGCACUCCUC